rnacentral:rRNA from 2 species
UGAGGAAUAUUGGUCAAUGGUCGAGAGACUGAACCAGCCAAGUCGCGUGAGGGAAGACUGCCCUAUGGGUUGUAAACCUCUUUAGUCGGGGAGCAAAAAAGCGGACGUGUCCGCCAUUGAGCGUACCCGAAGAAUAAGCAUCGGCUAACUCCGUGCCAGCAGCCGCGGUAAUACGGAGGAUGCGAGCGUUAUCCGGAUUUAUUGGGUUUAAAGGGUGCGUAGGCGGUUUAAUAAGUCAGCGGUUAAAUGUCGGGGCUCAACCUCGGCCUGCCGUUGAAACUGUUGAACUAGAGUUAGAGUGGAGCAUGCGGAAUGCGCAGUGUAGCGGUGAAAUGCAUAGAUAUUGCGCAGAACUCCGAUCGCGAAGGCAGCGUGCUAACUCUCGACUGACGCUGAGGCACGAAAGCGCGGGUAUCGAACAGG